ensembl:snRNA U7 U7 small nuclear RNA
AAGUGUUAUAGCUCUUUUAGAAUUUGUCUAGCAGGUUUUCUGGGCCUCGCCAGAAACCAUU